AUUCCUAUGGAGUGUCUCACUGGUCGCUCUCCUGACUACUCCGCUCUUCGUAUGUUUGGAUGUGUGUGCUAUGUCCUUCUUGCCCCGCGAGAACGCACCAAACUGACUGCUCAGUCGGUUGAGUGUGUUUUUCUUGGCUACAGUGAUGAGCACAAGGGCUAUCGCUGCUGGGAUCCUGUUGGUCGUCGUUUACGCAUCUCGCGUGAUGUGACCUUUGACGAGUCUCCCUCUUACUACCCACGUCCUUCUACCUCGAGCUUCUCUGUGGAUGAUCUUUCCUUUCUUCUUCUCCCUGAUACACCCUGCUAUGUGCCUCCUCAUGUCUUUCCUCCUCCGCCUGCACCUCUCCUUCCUUCUCCUUCACCA
rnacentral:rRNA from 1 species